CCUUUUUACUAGUGGAGUCGCAGACGCGAUCGGCUUGUGCAGACGUAAUCAUGGAUUCGUUGUGAGCAUAGAGCUGGUUUGACACGUAUGGCGUUGAAUUCGUUGUUGAGAAGUUACUUGAAGCACUGCUUAGCAUCUGUCUUCGGCAAAAACCCGACGAAACAGCCACGAACUCGGAAGAAACUUUGAUCUUGAUCCAGUGCUUUCCAAUUGCCACAUUCCACCCAAUAUCAAAUGGUCGUUCAAAUGGUUGAGAAGAUUGAAUGUGCCGGCCUGGUAUCUUUGUAGUAACUCUGUUCUCUAACAACUUAGUCAUUUCUGCUGUUCAUGAGUCAUCUCAUCUGAUUGUGAGUGCUGAACUUUUCUUGGUGGCUCAAGAGUGGCAUCACCUAUAUCUUUAAGGCCGAAGUGGUCAUUGAGACGUGUGAGGAUAUCUUGAGGCAGAACAAAGUCAUCUACAGAAGAUGCGGAAUAAUUGGACUGUAGCCUGUGUAAAACCGGAACAGAACGUAUUUGAUUAGAUGAUUAGGUGGUACUUCCAGCACUGACUGGUUGUUGAUCUUAUGACUGACCAUUGUGAACAGAAACGAUGGAAUCCAGUGGAUCAGACAACGUGAGUUGCAGAAGCCUGGCGUACUUCUAGAGCCAUGUAUAGAUAGAAGUAAAGAACUCAGCUGGAAAAAGCGUGUGAUCCGUAUGUUAUAUGAUAAGUUUCUGUU